GACCGUGCAAAGGUAGCAUAAUCAUUUGCCUUAUAAUUGAAGGCUUGUAUGAAUGGUUUGACAAGAAUAAAGCUGUCUCUUUACAAAUAAAUAUAAUUUUAUUUACAGGUGAAGAAGCCUGUAUUAUAUUGAAAGACAAGAAGACCCUAUCGAGCUUUAAAUAAGUUAGUAUAAAGUAAAUCGUAUUUAUAUCGAGCUGGAUACUAAAAAUUUUAGUUGGGGCGACUAAGGAACAACUAAAGCUUCCUAAAAAUUUUAAGCGCUUUCAAGCUGUGAUCCAAAAGUUUUGAUUAAAGAAAUUAGUUACCGUAGGGAUAACAGCAUUAUCUUUUUUAAGAGUUCAAAUCGAAAAAAAGGUUUGUGACCUCGAUGUUGGACCAGAAUAUCCUGAAGAUGCAGCCGUCUUCAAGGGUUGGUCUGUUCGACCAUUAAAAUUCUACGUGAUCUGAGUUCAGACCGGCGUGAGCCAGGUCAGUUUCUAUCUUCUAUUUUUGAUAUGGACCUAGUACGAAAGGAUUGGUCUAUGAUAAUAGUUAUUCUCCUUGAUGUAGUAUAAAGGGUUAUUAAAUUAUUAAACACAAUAGAUCAAAUUAGCAAAGAUAAUGCAAUUGACUUAGGAUCAAUAGACAUAGGUGAAAUUCCUUUAUUUGAUACAAAUAUGAAGGUGGCAGAUGAA
rnacentral:rRNA from 1 species